rnacentral:rRNA from 1 species
GAUGCCGUCAGCCUACCAUGCAAGUCGGACGGUAGCACAGAGAACUUGGUCUCUCGUGAGAAGAGUGGGACACGUGAGUAAUGUGUGGGGAUCUGCCCCAUAUAGGGGGAUAACCCCUGUGGACGGUGGGUAAUACCGCAUAACGUCUCAAGACACAAGAGGGGGACCUUCUGGCCUCUCACUAUCUGAUGAGCCCCCAUGGGAUUUUCUCUUAUGCGGGGUAACGGCCCCCCUAUGCGACAAUACCUAUCUGGGCUGAGAGGAUGACCACCCCCACUGUGACUGAGACACGGUCCCCACUCCCACGGGAGGCGCCACUGGGGAAUAUUGUGCACUGGGCGCAAGCCUGAGGCGCCCAUGCGCCGUGUGUGAAAAAAGCCUUCUGGUUGUGAAGUACUUUCUCCGCGGAGAAAAGCGAUAUGGUUAAUAUCCCCGUUGAUUGUGAUUUCCCGCACAAAAAACACCGGCUAACUCCCUGCCACCACCCGCGGUAAUACAGAGGGUGCGAGCGUUAUUCUCAAUUACUGGGCGUAAAGCGCACACACGCGGUCUGUUAAAUCUCAUAUGAAAUCUCCGGGCUCAUCAUGUGAACUGCAUUUGAAACUGGCACGGUUGAGUCUCGUAGAGGGGGGUAGAAUUCCAGGUGUAGCGGUGAAAUGCGUAGAGAUCUGGAGGAAUACCGGUGGCGAAGGCGGCCCCCUGGACGAAGACUGACGCUCAGGUGCGAAAGCGUGGGGAGCAAACAGGAUUAGAUACCCUGGUAGUCCACGCCGUAAACGAUGUCGACUUGGAGGUUGUUCCCUUGAGGAGUGGCUUCCGGAGCUAACGCGUUAAGUCGACCGCCUGGGGAGUACGGCCGCAAGGUUAAAACUCAAAUGAAUUGACGGGGGCCCGCACAAGCGGUGGAGCAUGUGGUUUAAUUCGAUGCAACGCGAAGAACCUUACCUACUCUUGACAUCCAGAGAAUUUAGCAGAGAUGCUUUGGUGCCUUCGGGAACCGUGAGACAGGUGCUGCAUGGCUGUCGUCAGCUCGUGUUGUGAAAUGUUGGGUUAAGUCCCGCAACGAGCGCAACCCUUAUCCUUUGUUGCCAGCGAUUCGGUCGGGAACUCAAAGGAGACUGCCGGUGAUAAACCGGAGGAAGGUGGGGAUGACGUCAAGUCAUCAUGGCCCUUACGAGUAGGGCUACACACGUGCUACAAUGGCGCAUACAAAGAGAAGCGACCUCGCGAGAGCAAGCGGACCUCAUAAAGUGCGUCGUAGUCCGGAUCGGAGUCUGCAACUCGACUCCGUGAAGUCGGAAUCGCUAGUAAUCGUGGAUCAGAAUGCCACGGUGAAUACGUUCCCGGGCCUUGUACACACCGCCCGUCACACCAUGGGAGUGGGUUGCAAAAGAAGUAGGUAGCUUAACCUUCGGGAGGGCGCCUACCACCUUGGGAUUACGGG